UUCCGUAGGUGAACCUGCGGAAGGAUCAUUAUUGAACUAAGUCGGAUUCGAUGCUGGCCCUUAACCCGGGCAUGUGCUCGUCCUUCAUUUUUCUAACCUUCUUUAUGUGCACAUUUGUAUGCCCCUGAGUAACGAGCGCCUCUCGCAGCAAUGCGGUUUGCUUGGGACUGACGGCCUGGUCGUCUUUCCUGCAAUGCUCUCUGGGGGCUACGUUUUUAUAUACAAGUCAGUUAUAGAAUGUCUUUUAAUGACUGUUGCCUAGCGCAUGGUCUUAAACAAUUACAACUUUCAGCAACGGAUCUCUUGGCUCUCCCAUCGAUGAAGAACGCAGCGAAAUGCGAUAAGUAAUGUGAAUUGCAGAAUUCAGUGAAUCAUCGAAUCUUUGAACGCACCUUGCGCCCUUUGGUAUUCCGAAGGGCAUGCCUGUUUGAGUGUCAUUAAAUUAUCAACCUUGCUCGCUUUUACCGGCUUGAGCUGAGGCUUGGACGUGGGGGUUUUUGCUGGCUUCCUUCAGUGGAUGGUCUGCUCCCCUUAAAUUCAUUAGCGGGAUCUCUUGUGGACCGUCACUUGGUGUGAUAAUUAUCUAUGCCGUUUGACCUUGAAGCAAAUUUAUGGGACCCUGCUUAUAACCGUCUCUUACCGGGACAAUUUAAUAACAUCUUGACCUCAAAUCAGGUAGGACUACCCGCUGAACUUAAGCAUAUCAAUAAGCGGAGGAAAAGAAACUAACAAGGAUUCCCCUAGUAACUGCGAGUGAAGCGGGAAAAGCUCAAAUUUAAAAUCUGGCGGUCCUUGUGGCCGUCCGAGUUGUAAUUUAGAGAA
rnacentral:misc_RNA from 1 species